UUCCAUAAGAUCUAAUUUAUGGUACAACCUGCUCAAUGUACAUAUAAAUAGCCGCAGCCCAGCUGUGCUAAGGUAGCACAAUAACUUGCCUCCUAAUUAGAAGAUAGAAUGAAGGGUAACACAUUUAAUACAUGUCUCCUUUAACCACAAAUUAAAUUAAAAUAAGGGUUAAAAUUCCCUUAACGCAAGGCGGGACGAUAAGACCCUGAUAAACUUAACAUUUAGUUGGGGAAACGAACUAAUUACUAUUUACAAACAAAUCUCAACAAAACUAAAACAUUAAAUAUAGAAAAGUUACUACAGGGAUAACAGCGCAAUUUCUUUUAAGAGAUCUUAUCAAAAAAGAAGAUUACGACCUCGAUGUUGAAUUAGCUUACCUGAUAAGGAGCAAAAUCCUAUUAAGGUGGUCUGUUCGACCAUAAAACAGCU
rnacentral:rRNA from 1 species